rnacentral:rRNA from 1 species
AUACCGGCUGCUCGAGUGAUGGCCACUAUUACUGGGUUUAAAGCGUCCGUAGCUUGACUGUUAGGUCUCUUGGGAAAUCUUUUGGCUUAACCAAAAGGCGUCUAAGAGAUACCGGCAUUCUUGGAACUGGGAGAGGUAAGCCGUACUUCGGGGGUAGGAGUGAAAUCUUGUAAUCCUCGAGGGACGACCUAUGGCGAAGGCAGCUUACCAGAACAGCUUCGACAGUGAGGGACGAAAGCUGGGGGAGCAAACGGGAUUAGAUACCCCGGUAGUCCCAGCCGUAAACAAUGUGCGUUAGGUGUGUCGGUUACCACGCGUAACUGAUGCGCCGAAGAGAAAUCGUGAAACGCACCACCUGGGAAGUACGGUCGCAAGGCUGAAACUCAAAUGAAUUGGCGGGG